CCCCCUCGGCUUAACCCUAACCUCCCCCUGCAGCUUACCUAUCAGAUGGGCCAAUCUUGAUCACUGUAACAGAGUCCUCGUUGUCACGGUACCCGAACUACCCAGCCGCAACUUAAGGCUUCUAGCUGCUUCCAGUCUGAGUAGCAGUGGCAUCAGCGACAGUGGUAUCCCUGGGACACAGGCAGCACCCAGUGUCUGGCUAUCCAAGGAAACCAGAGCACCCACAACAAAUGCACACAAAGCAAGGGAGGAAAAUGCAAAUUCCAAACAGGCAGCGACAUGAUUUGAAUCCAAACAUGUCCCUUCUAGGAAAGGUAACAAUGUUAACCACUGUGCUACUUUGUCACCUACAAUUUAGCACUGCUCACUACUGUAUGUGAAGGGACCUAGAGGUAUUGGGAGCCCGGCAUUGCAGAAAUUACCAGUGAUUGAACACAACAAGCCAACAAACAAAACCCUCAGUAAAUGAACAUUUAAUGAAUGAAUAAAAAAAAAGCAUAAAAUGA